UACCAGCACCCCGAGUGGUCGGGACGUUUAUUGGGCCUAAAGCAUCCGUAGCCGGUUCUACAAGUCUUCCGUUAAAUCCAACUGCUUAACAGGUGGGCUGCGGAAGAUACUAUAGAGCUAGGAGGCGGGGAGAGGCAAAGCGGUACUCGAUGGGUAGGGGGUAAAAAUCCGUUGAUCCAUUGAAGACCACCAGUGGCGAAGGCGGCUUGCCAGAACGCGCUCGACGGUGAGGGAUGAAAGCUGGGGGAGCAAACCGG
rnacentral:rRNA from 1 species